rnacentral:rRNA from 1 species
GACGAACGCUGGCGGCGUGCUUAACACAUGCAAGUCGAGCGGAGCGGCGAACGGGUGAGUAAAGCGUGAGUAACUGCCCCCCUCUCUGGGAUAACAGUUGGAAAAGGAUGCUAAUCCCGGCUAGCGGGGGAUGACUCGCGUCCUAUCAGCUGGUUGUUGGGGUAGUGGCCUACCAAGGCGACGACGGGUAGCAGGCCUGAGAGGGCGACCGGCCACAUUGGGCUGGGAUACGGCCCGAACUCCUACGGGGGGCAGCAGUGGGGAAUAUUGCACAAUGGGUGAAACCCUUAUGCAGCAACGCCGCUUGCGGGAGGACGGCCUUCGGGGUGUAAACCGCUUUCAGCCAUGACGCGGUAGUGGCAGAAGAAGCACCGGCUAACUACGUGCCAGCAGCCGCGGUAAUUC